rnacentral:rRNA from 1 species
ACCAGCAGCCAUAUCACCCCGAAACUCACAACUGGCAGCCCACUGAAGCUAAGCAGGUGUGAGCCUGGUCAGUACCUGGAUGGGAGACCUCCUGGGAAAAACUAAGGUUGCUGCUGGAA